ACCAGGGAUACUUAGUACGGCGAGUGAAGCGGUAAAAGCUCAAAUUUGAAAUCUGGUACUUUCAGUGCCCGAGUUGUAAUUUGUAGAAUUUGUCUUUGAUUAGGUCCUUGUCUAUGUUCCUUGGAACAGGACGUCAUAGAGGGUGAGAAUCCCGUUUGGCGAGGAUACCUUUUCUCUGUAAGACUUUUUCGAAGAGUCGAGUUGUUUGGGAAUGCAGCUCAAAGUGGGUGGUAAAUUCCAUCUAAAGCUAAAUAUUGGCGAGAGACCGAUAGCGAACAAGUACAGUGAUGGAAAGAUGAAAAGAACUUUGAAAAGAGAGUGAAAAAGUACGUGAAAUUGUUGAAAGGGAAGGGCAUUUGAUCAGACAUGGUGUUUUUUGCAUGCACUCGCCUCUCGUGGGCUUGGGCCUCUCAAAAAUUUCACUGGGCCAACAUCAAUUCUGGCAGUAGGAUAAAUCAUUAAGAAUGUAGCUACCUCGGUAGUGUUAUAGCUUAUUGGAAUACUGCUAGCUGGGAUUGAGGACUGCGCUUCGGCAAGGAUGUUGGCAUAAUGGUUAAAUGCCGCCCGUCUUGACC
rnacentral:rRNA from 1 species